rnacentral:rRNA from 1 species
UGGGGAAUUUUGGACAAUGGGCGCAGGCCUGAUCCAGCAAUGCCGCGUGCAGGAAGAAGGCCUUCGGGUUGUAAACUGCUUUUGUCAGGGAAGAAAUCUUCUGGGCUAAUACCCCGGGAGGAUGACGGUACCUGAAGAAUAAGCACCGGCUAACUACGUGCCAGCAGCCGCGGUAAUACGUAGGGUGCGAGCGUUAAUCGGAAUUACUGGGCGUAAAGCGUGCGCAGGCGGUUAUGUAAGACAGAUGUGAAAUCCCCGGGCUCAACCUGGGAACUGCAUUUUGUGACUGCAUGACUGGAGUGCGGCAGAGGGGGAUGAAUUCCGCGUGUAGCAGUGAAAUGCGUAGAUAUGCGGAGGAACACCGAUGGCGAAGGCAAUCCCCUGGGCCUGCACUGACGCUCAUGCACGAAAGCGUGGGGAGCAAACAGGAUUAGAUACCCUGGUAGUCCACGCCCUAAACGAUGUCAACUGGUUGUUGGACGGCUUGCUGUUCAGUAACGAAGCUAACGCGUGAAGUUGACCGCCUGGGGAGUACGGCCGCAAGGUUGAAACUCAAAUGAAUUGAC